rnacentral:lncRNA from 1 species
CUUGGAAAUGGGAAGCAUCAGAUAGCCUCUCCUGCUUGCUUGCUUGCUUUCUUUUUUUAAAUGUACGCUUCCGUUUGAAAAAUGCAGCAUGUUACAGAGAGAGCAAGGUUCAAAGAUCAAGUGAGCUGAAGUAGAGAGGAUGGAUGAGACAGAAGAGUUACAAAGGGAGAUGAUAAGAUGAUGACCCUAUGCCAGAGGUCAGGAAAUCUGAAGCCAUUAACAGUGAUAGAGGUGGACUUGGAGCCACUACUGUAUUGCAGUUUCAGCCUUCCAAAUUCAGUGAAGUCUUGGAACGUUGCUUGGAAGUGUGAAUCCUUGACAUGUUCAGCUUUACUGUGACUCCUUCCUGGAUCACUUCUUGGAACUUUACUGCUUGUAACUCUAUCUGGAAUGAUGAAUCACUGCUAAAAGACAUUACCCAUUUCUAUUGCCCUGGAGUCAUUACUUGCAUUUGGCCAUGAGCUUCAGUUCCAUUGACCCCCUUCCUUUCAAAAGCCCUUAUUUUCCUCAGCUUAUAUGGUUUAUAUGGACUCUAUUUUUUCAGCACAAGUGUCAGCAGCCUAUUUUCUCUUGAAGAUCUGAAAUUAUUCAUUGAAUAUUCUAGGAUCAAGUUAUUUGCUCAGGUCUUUGUGAAACAUAGGAACUUUAUGGGCUAAUGUUGUUUUGACAAUCACAUUAGAUUCAUCUCAUUGUACUUUAGCACUUUUUGCUGAUUUGGAGCUGUGAUAUACAACCCAGGGCAGGGUGUGAAAAGGUGACACUUGAAUGUACUUUUUCCUGACUAUGAAAGAGGGACUAGAUGAAUGUAAAGCCUCUUUCAUUAGAACGCUUUUUUCCUCCACCAGUCUUCAGCAAUUCAUUACUGGGCUUACAUUAAAAUCAGUCUAAUGGGAGCUGGAAUGUUGUCCGGAGGAAAAUAGCGUGGAGUAGAAUUAUAAUCCACACAGAGUCUGCCAGUUUCUGAUUUGUCUGAGAUGUGAUCAUCACUGGAGAAACGGUGCUGUUGCGAUUUGAAUUGAUUGC